UACGUAGGGGGCAAGCGUUGUCCGGAUUUAUUGGGCGUAAAGAGCGUGUAGGCGGUUUGGUAGGUCCGCUGUGAAAACUCGAGGCUCAACCUCGAGACGCCGGUGGAAACCAUCAGACUAGAGUCCGGAAGAGGAGAGUGGAAUUCCUGGUGUAGCGGUGAAAUGCGCAGAUAUCAGGAAGAACACCUAUGGCGAAGGCAGCUCUCUGGGACGGUACUGACGCUGAGACGCGAAAGCGUGGGGAGCGAACAGG
rnacentral:rRNA from 1 species